rnacentral:lncRNA from 1 species
UGAGGUCGAAGGUGUCAUUGAAGCCCUUCCCGCAGUACGUGCAGAGGUGCCUCUUGACGUCGUUGUGACACUUCAUGUGGCGGUUCAGCAUGCGCUGGUGGAGACAAACAGGAACCUCUACCCUCCUCUGCCUGUUAGUACUGGAUGGUGUGAGCGAGGUCCCCCAGCUGCACCACAGCAGGGCAGGAGACAGCAGCCAAAGGACUCGCCCUCACCUGUUCUUUCUGAGACAAAUCAUCUGCCAGGUUUCCGCCUCGGGACACCCAAGCUCAGCACAGACAGCCUAGCAGCCUGGGUGACAGGAUCCCAGGGGACAGGUAGGAGUCUCAUCUAGCUGGCUGCCCAGGCCCAUGCUGCUCUUCUGUCUCUGUCCACUGUGUGGCUGUCCACUCUCCCAGCCCCGCUCCCUGGCAAGCACAGCAAACAUCUCCUUCGCUGCCAAACACGGCCCAGGAAUGACUACAGGGUAACCAUCCCAUCAGAGGCCGGAGCUCUCACUAUCCUCACUCCCGACACAUCCUUGGGCCCCAAAGCUCACUCUCAGCUUUCCUGACCAGCUGGAAAGAGAUCUGCCCAAGUGCCCACACUACCUAGUGGUAGAGC